GAGGAUGGCCAGUAUUUUCUAAAGGUCCUCAUACCUAGUUAUGCUGCUGGAUCUAUAAUUGGGAAGGGAGGACAGACAAUUGUUCAGUUGCAGAAAGAGACUGGGGCCACCAUCAAGCUGUCUAAAUCCAAAGAUUUUUACCCAGAUAUCACAGACUGGAAAUGUGAGCUUUGGCUGAUACUGCUGGGAAGGAGAGUGCGGCAGGCAGCUGUAAUUCCCAUCCUGUAAAGGGAGUAUGGAGUGGCACAGGAAGGAAAUGGCAUAUCGCUGGAAAGUUGCUCUAAUUCAGCACAGGAUUCUUGUGAG